AUUAAUUUACAUAAAUCUUGUUUUAUUUUAUUAUUAUUAUUUUUUUUUUUGAAGUUUCUCUUUCUACUUAUUUCUUAUCAAUGCUGCAGUUAUUGAAAUAUCAAGUGUUAUAAAAAAAUAAUACAAUUGCAAUCGUAAUGACAUUGAUAUUUAAAUGUAAAAUUCUAAUAAUUUUUCUAUGCACAUGCCUCUCUCAUACGUGUUCAUAUUUCUACCGUAUUGACUUGUAGAGAGCUCACGGCUAUUUAAUUUUGCGGCAAUUAGCUAUUUGGAAGGAAGGGGAGCCGUUUUGAGUAGAAGCCGAUAGUGUGGCAGUUGCUCGCCAGAUGUGGUGAGUGCGGCCGUUCUCGUUGAAUUGUGGCGCGCGCCCGCCCCCGGUCGUCCUACCCUUUCCCUCUUCUUCUCCCCACUUAAUCGUCUGCCCCCUCCGUUCAGACGAAACUGGCUAUCUUUUCUACUUUGAGUCGUCGCAUCUGUAUACGUACACACGGCCGCGUAUCCCCUCCCCCACGCGUUCCGUCGCAUUCGCCACUUGAGAGCCCGCGCUGUUUGUCCUACACCUACUAUCACUUUAGACCUCUUCUUUCGCGCGGCUGAUGAAAAAUCGUGAUCCAAGGACCGCUAAACGGUGGACCGAAACGCUAUUACGCCAUUCAACGAUCAUUGAUGCCUGACGAUGGUAAGAUUCCGCUCGACAAGAGGUAGGACCUGACCAGCCUAUUUCGGUCGAUCCGAGACGCAUUGCCUUGAAGUCUCGUGUCACUCUUCGCGAUGGACCCUCUCCAUUAGAAUUUCCAAUAAAGCUGUCGCAGGUGUAAAAAACGUAUCAAGACCCCUAUGAAUCAUGCGUCGCGCAAAAGCGGAACCGCCAAGACACGUGUAUCUGUUAUGCUUUCUCUCGGUAAUUCGCAGGAUGGUUCAUGCACCCGUUCAUACGCCUCUUCCUCCUCUCUCUCUCUCUCUCUCUCUCUCUCUCUCUCUCUCUCUCUCUCUCUGCACUACUAUAAUCUGCCCCACCAUAAUCCAUUCAGUGUCAACGGGGGUCGAUGACUCCGUCGAAGCAAUUAUUAUCAUUGAAAUUAGGUUUCAAUCAUAUACGAGAAGAAUGAUUCGAGUCAUCUAUAAAUGUUUGACCCUCCGGGCAAUUGCGAAUUAAUAAUGUGACGUCACACAAAUAAAUAAGUCGAAUAGUAAGAACUCUAA